CCUACGGGAGGCUGCAGUGAGGAAUAUUGGUCAAUGGACGAGAGCCUGAACCAGCCAAGUAGCGUGAAGGAUGAAUGAUCUAUGGGUUGUAAACUUCUUUUAUAUGGGAAUAAAAUGUUCCACGUGUGGGAUUUUGUAUGUACCAUAUGAAUAAGGAUCGGCUAACUCCGUGCCAGCAGCCGCGGUAAUACGGAGGAUCCGAGCGUUAUCCGGAUUUAUUGGGUUUAAAGGGAGCGUAGGUGGAUUGUUAAGUCAGUGGUGAAAGUUUGCGGCUCAACCGUAAAAGUGCAGUUGAAACUGGCAGUCUUGAGUACGUUAGAGGUGGGCGGAAUGCGUGGUGUAGCGGUGAAAUGCUUAGAUAUCACGAAGAACUCCGAUUGCGAAGGCAGCUCGC
rnacentral:rRNA from 1 species